rnacentral:rRNA from 1 species
GGAUUAGAUACCCGGGUAGUCCACGCCGUAAACGAUGUCGACUUGGAGGUUGUUCCCUUGAGGAGUGGCUUCCGGAGCUAACGCGUUAAGUCGACCGCCUGGGGAGUACGGCCGCAAGGUUAAAACUCAAAUGAAUUGACGGGGGCCCGCACAAGCGGUGGAGCAUGUGGUUUAAUUCGAUGCAACGCGAAGAACCUUACCUGGCCUUGACAUCCACAGAACUUAGCAGAGAUGCUUUGGUGCCUUCGGGAACUGUGAGACAGGUGCUGCAUGGCUGUCGUCAGCUCGUGUUGUGAAAUGUUGGGUUAAGUCCCGCAACGAGCGCAACCCUUAUCCUUUGUUGCCAGCGAUUCGGUCGGGAACUCAAAGGAGACUGCCGGUGAUAAACCGGAGG